CCUACGGGAGGCAGCAGUGAGGAAUAUUGGUCAAUGGGCGUGAGCCUGAACCAGCCAAGCCGCGUGAGGGAAGAAGGUACAGCGUAUCGUAAACCUCUUUUGUCAGGGAACAAAGGCGGGGACUAGUCCCCGGAUGAGGGUACCUGAAGAAAAAGCAUCGGCUAACUCCGUGCCAGCAGCCGCGGUAAUACGGAGGAUGCGAGCGUUAUCCGGAUUUAUUGGGUUUAAGGGGUGCGCAGGCGGCCUGUUAAGUCAGCGGGAAAAGCCCGGGGCUCAACCCCGGCGAGCCGUUGAAACUGGCGGGCUGGAGUUGGAGAGAGGUACGCGGAAUGCGCGGUGUAGCGGUGAAAUGCUUAGAUAUCGCGCAGAACCCCGAUUGCGAAGGCAGCGUACCGGCUCCACACUGACGCUGAGGCACGAAAGCGUGGGUAUCGAACAGGAUUAGAUACCCGUGUAGUC
rnacentral:rRNA from 1 species